UUAAUGUUUUGACUUUCUUCUUGUAAAAUUACUGCUGAAUGUUCACAUUUUAGCUGUUUUUUUUACGAAGUUGACCAGUAAAGCCUGAAGUGAAUAUUACGUUCAUUAUGAAUUAUGAACGUUCAUUAUUAUAUCCCUCAUAUUUUGAAGAGAACUAUAGUAUAUUAUUCCCAAAACUGUUACUGUAACCGAGCAGGUCCGGCCUUCAAAAUAACAGCACAUCCUGUACGGGGGUACCAAAGUAAGAGCGUCACAUAAAUAGCUUACAUUACUGUAAAUAAAAUCACAUGACUCUGCCAAUAACUAAACCAGAAUAGGUGAACUGACGUUUCGGGGUAUUUAUUAUAUUUCUUAAAUGAUAUUUAAAUGUUCAUUUCAGCUGUUUUGAAUGCCCAACAUCAAUAUGGCGACUACCGGUUGGCAGCAUACACGUCAUAAAGUGCCCGGAUGUUGCACCUUGUCAAUGCUAAUUGCAAAUGCCCACUCGGGCCAUGGCACAAUGAUUGUUAUGCUAAACAUAUUAAACGUUAUAACAUCUUUUUAGGUCACUUCCUCUUGAUUUGGAGGGCGCCUCAUGUCGAGGGCUUACCUAAUCAAUGGACGAGUGAGAAUUUGUUCGGUUAAUCGACAUAAUAAACUCACCAUCGUCGUCAAAGUCCCUGGUCUCGCAGUAAUUGACAGUCUUCGUCUUCCUAGUCUGCGGAUGUGAUUAGGCUGUCACGACGCGAUCGGUUCUGCGCAUGUCCAGAAAGUGGGACCAAUAUGAGGCAAGCCCAGUUGUACCACGCAUGUGCAAUCUACGUCAUCCCUCGAGCUAUUUUACGUUCACGUGAACAUUCUAAGUGCUGUUGCGCAUGUGCAGAACCGAUCACGUGUCCAGUGCGGAUCGCGUGGUUGACAGGCUCGGUGUGGUCGCUGAUAAAAACGGAGGUGUGCUACCAGACGUCCACAAGAGGGCAGCACCACUCUGAAGUGCCGGUCUCUCCGUCCGGAGAGGUGGGAUGUCUUUUCACUUGCUGGACGCCAGAGGAGGACAGAGAGCAGCGAAGAAGAGGAGCGUCAUCACAACUUGAGGUGGCUUCGUGUCCGAGUGGGAUCACCAGACCACACGGCUCAGCUUUGUCGUUGUUGUCUUUUCCAGAAGUUACUUUCUUCCGGUGUUGAUUGGUUCAGAAGGUCUUUUCUUUUUUAUGUGUAGAAAUAGGAAUAGUGACGUAUCCUGGGUUUCUUCUGGAGUAUCGUUCCUUAGCUCCUCUCCGGGACGGGCCAUGCGCCAAAAGCUUUGAUGAACCCCCUGCGGGUGUAGAUUUCAUCCAUCGGAGCCCACGACAGAAAUAAACCGGUCAGAUCUUUGUUGUGCUGGCUGAGUGACAGCAUCCCUCUCUCCAUUCCUGGCGCUCCCGCUCCACCCGUCCUCCCAAAUUGCCUUGAUCCGCCGCUCGCCCCCGGUGUGGUUUUCAUCCUAUAGGGGGGGGGGGGGGGGGGUGAGAAGGAGCAAACCGGCGGGAAAAAUGUGUGAGCGGAUUCUUCGCAUUCUCCGGCUCGGUGUUGGUUUUCCCCGGAGAGAGGAAGGAGGAGCGUGGAGGGAACGGACUGGCGACUCAGCAGCUGACGCCUCUGAUGUUUGCAUCUUCUCGUAAACCAAAAUCGACAACUUUGGUUGUUUCCCAGGCCUGAGCACACAUCAGCUUCACGGGCUUUAGUGUAGGGUCGUAGUUCACCAAGCGGACUCAUCCAGCUCGCCGUGGUACGGUUUGGAAUCGUAAAUCCACCCAUGAAGCCAUACGGCGAACGACAAUUGGAGGACAUCUUGCUUUUUGGAAGUGACUAGAUCAGGGGUGCUCAUUAAGUCGAUCGCGAGCUACCGGUCGAUCGCGGAGGUGGUACUGGUCGAUCGCUGGUCGAUCGCGGCGUGACAUUAAAAAAAUAUCAUCCCAGCAUCAAUGCCGUCACUUGAUUGACAUACAGGGCAGCCAUUCAGAUGACAACUGAAUGUUGCCCUUCGGGCGACCAAUGAAAUCAAACAACGUCUCUAAGUGCAGCAGAACUUACGAUGUCAGCCUAUCAUCCAUCCCCGUUACUUGAUUGACAUACAGGACAACCAGUCAGAUGACAACUGAAUUUUGACCUUUAGGUCACCGCUCAUGCGUAAACAACGAUGCAAAGUGCUAAGCUAGUCGGCGAAUUGCGUUAGAUUUUAAGCCCUCGCUAAAGUUUAUGGUCACUAAAAUGAGUGAAGGAGCUGGACAAGUAAAAAGUAAAAAGGCAAAAACUGGACCAAGUAAAAAGACAAAAACAUAUCACUUCCAUACGGAUAUGGAAUAUUAUACGGAUAUUAUGAUACGGAUAUUAUCCAUGACUGAUAAACAUUUGGAAGUGUGCUUGAGGCUGGCUAUCAGCAGCUACUGUCCGGACUAUGCAUCCCUGGCUGGUUCAAUUCAGUCCAAGUCAUCAAAGUAAACUCAGGUAAUUACAAAAAAUGUUAAUAGUUAAUUAUGUGUGUUUUGCAAUAUUGGCUCAUUUGGUUAUGUAAGGUACAUCAACAUACAUUGUACGUACAAAUAAUCCUCAAUACAUUUGAAAAUAAAUAGAUGUUUUGCAUUUUUGUAGUGGGUAGAUCAUUUUGACUCAACGUCUCCCUCGCUGACCCCCUUAUUAAGUCUCCAAUUAAGUCCUCAUCGGACACCCGUCACUUACUCAUACUCAGUCCUCAUGGCCCGGGAUGAGAUUCAGACCGUAUUCAUAUUAAAAGUCAGGGACAGGAAAUGUUUGUGGCGUCAGGUGUCCGUCGGAGAAAUGAAUGACGCCAAUCAAGGUCCAGGGUCUAGUACAGUACAGUACAGUACAGUACAGCCUUUGGCUAGCAAGGGCGCCAAGGGCUUCUGUCAAAGUCUACCGUUUUUCCCGAAAUAUAAAAUGGACAAAGACAAGCGGAUAAGCGUCCCGAUUUUAUCGUACAGUCGAAAUCGUGAACGACGCCGCAAGCUGAGAUUAUUGAGUUAACGCCGCCCUUUAGCCAAUAAGGAACGUUCACAUAUUAAAAGGAAACUGUUUUUCCAUUAGACCAGGGGUGGGCAAACUACGGCCCGGGGGCCACAUCCGGCCCGCCAAGUGUUUGAAUACGGCCCGCCCAAUCUUUCCAAAGUAUUUCAUUUAAACUCAACAUACAACCUGGCAUCAUGGCCUGAGCCAACCUUUUGAUGGUUGUAUCAAUUUGGUUUUUUGACAUGGUCUGUUGUUUACAAAGUGCUCCUGAAAAAAGGGACACAAGC